rnacentral:rRNA from 1 species
GACGAACGUUGGCGGCGUGCUUAAUACAUGCAAGUCAACUGAAGCAGUGGUAGCAAUAUCGCUGUGGAGGUGGCGCACGGGUGAGUAACACGUAGGUAAUCUGCCUUCAGGUCUGGCAUAACUCCGGGAAACCGGGGCUAAUAGCAGAUGAUGCAGCGGCUCGACAUCGAGACAGUUGUUAAAGCUAUGGCGCCUGAAGAUGAGCCUGCGUCUGAUUAGCUAGUUGGCGGGGUAACGGCCCACCAAGGCAACGAUCAGUGGCUGGUCUGAGAGGAUGAUCAGCCACACUGGAACUGAGACACGGUCCAGACUCCUACGGGAGGCAGCAGUAAGGAAUAUUGCUCAAUGGGAGAAAUCCUGAAGCAGCAACGCCGCGUGAGGGACGAAGGGCUUUUGCUUGUAAACCUCUGUAGUGAGAGAAAAAAAUCCCAAUCUUUGGGACAUGAUGGUAUCUCAAAAGUAAGCCCCGGCUAACUACGUG